rnacentral:lncRNA from 10 species
CAUUGAUCUUACAUGUCUUUGUACCUCUCUUUUGGGUGGACUUUAUUAUGACAAUGUCCCAUUUAAAAUAUAUUUUGUGUGGUUGCGUAAAUGAAUAUAAAUGAGGCUGAGAUUACAUUAUUUUCUUUUUUUCUUUCUUUCUUAGACGGAGUCUCGCUCUGUCGCCCAGGCUGGAGUGCAGUGGCAUGAUCUCGGCUCACUGCCAGCUCCGCCUCCUAGGUUCACGCCAUUCUCCUGCCUCAGCCUCACGAGUAGCUGGGACUACAGGCGCCCACUAGCAUGCCCGGCUAAUUUUUUUUUUUGUAUUUUUAGUAGAGAGAGGUUUUCACCGUGUUUAGCCAGGAUGGUCUCGAUCUCCGGACCUCGUGUCGUGAUCCACCCACCUCGGCCUCCCAAAGUGCUGGGAUUACCGGCUUGAGCCACCGCACACGGCCUAUUAUUUUCUUAUGGAAAGCUAUUGUAUACUGUUGCCUGUAAUUGGAUUUGUGGUACCGAAAACCCUUUGGGACUUUUUUUUACAUGAAGAAAUCAUGAGCUGCAAAUCCUCCCUUCUUUGUUAAUAUUCAAUUUUGGAAACUCAGUGUAAAAUUUUAUAUGUCCCCUGUCAAAUUUCAUGUUGUUUAUUUGACUUCUCAAAAUUAGGUUUCAUUUUUACUCAGAAGUCCAGUGUAUUAGCUACUCUUCACAAUUUUCUGUUCCUAAAAUUUUUCUAAAUAGGUCUCUAUGUCUUUGUUAAUGAUGUAGUUUAAAAUGUAUAAAAGUAGGCCCAACAUCAGAGCUUUAUGGCUCCAAGUCUUCCUUCCAGUAAUUUUUCUUUUUCUUUUCUUUUUUUCUUUUUUGAGGCAGAGUCUCACUCUGUUGCUCAGGCUGUAGUGAAGUGGUACAAUAACGGCUCACUGCAGCCUUGACUUCCUAGGCUCAAGUGAUCCUCUCACUUCAGCCUCCCAAGUAACUAGGACCACAAGCACACACCACCAAAUCCAUUAAUUUUUUUUUUGUUUUUUUUUUUGGUAGAUAUGGAGUUUUGCCAUGUUGUGCAGGCUGGUCUUGAACUCCUGAGCUCAAGCAACCUGUCAAUCUCAGCCUCCCAAAGUGCUGGGAUUACAGGCGUGAGCUGCCAUGCCUGGCUCAGUAAUUUUUGAAAUAAUUUUCAAACAGCAGUAACACAUAAAUCUACCUGUAUCACUAAGCAUUAAGACACCAGAAAUACUACUGUGAAAAUGUUUGAGCUAAAUGGUUAAAUAAUUUCUUGAAAUCACAAUGUUUUUCAAACUAAGUCUAGCACGUAUUUCUAGAAACCACAUAGCCUGCUAUUUGAUUACUUAUAGCAGUGGUUAUUACUUAUUUUUAAGUAUUAGUAUGUUACUGGUGAAAAUCUAUUUUUAAAUACACACUAGAUUUGCCUAUUUGUAAUUUCUGAAAUACAUAUAUAUUUUCCAUCUUUGAAUAGUAAAAUGUUUAUAUUUUUGUAGUAGACUUUUUCAUAUUUCUAAUUUUGUAAAAUGCCAACAGUUAUUUACAAUUACACCUGCAAUUACUGCAAGCUCUAGGAUGCAAUUCAUAUAAACUUCUACUUUCUACUUUGGAAAAAGCUACAUACUAGAAAAUAGAAAAUAUAGAGUUUGGGAGUUAAUCAGCAUUAGGUUACCAUUCCAGUGUCUAUCCUAAAUAUGCUUUAUGUCCUUGGGCAACUUAAUGACCCUCUCUUAGCUUUGAUUUCUAUUUCUGUAAAAGAAUGGAUAUCUUUUAAAUUCCUAGUAAUGCAUGAGAUGUAUUAUACAAUUUCACAGGAAAUGAAAGCUUUUUGAAUGCAGGGACUCAUUUAACUUAUUAAUUGCUAUAUAUCUGGAGACUAGAAAAGUACAUAUAUAGAAAAUUUCCAAAGAGUAAUUGUUGAAUAAAU